rnacentral:misc_RNA from 1 species
AGGAGCGCUCAUCCUUGUACUGACAUCAAUACUGACGCAAGCAGAGAAACGCGCGCGCGCACACACACACACGCAUAUACACAGACACACGCAGUAGCUGCGUGUGCGAAGACAGACAUCUGACUGCCCUUAUGUCCCACCUCACCUCCUCCACCGCUGCAGAGGCCGGGCCGGGGAGCGCCACUGGAGCAGGCCACACGGUGCCGCCACCAGCCUCGACGGCAGCGUGUGUCGCUUCUCAACAGUCGACAGCGACGGCGAAGCCACCGGCGCCGGUGGUGCGUCGCGGCCGUGGCACCUUCAAGCAUCAGCUUCGCACUGAAGAGAUGGAGCGGCAGUACGCCUCUGGAUCGGCGGCGGCAGCAGCUGCAGCCGCUGCUGCCCUCGGGCGCGCCGAGGAAGCGAGUACCAUCUUCACCGCAGCCACGACACAUGUUGUACUGCCGUCGUCGACGCUGGGCUCGAAGGCUACCAAGCCGGUGACCGAGGAGGAGGAGAUCGCGGCGCAGUUCGCGCACCUAAAGAAAGGCAAGGACAUUCCUCUCAACAUGAUGGUAGGGCAGGUGGUAAGCAGCGCCGUCGCUGCCACAAGCACUGGCAGUCCGAUGUCCGUAACCGCUCGGCUUGCGGCAGCGGCGGAGGCUCGUGCAGCCGCACCACGCACGCACUUUGGCAUCUUCGAGAACAACGCAAACGACACUGCACGCCAGCUGCUCUUCCGUGGCGAGAAGCGGCGGCGCUACUGUGUCAUCGUCGGUGACCUGCAAAACAGCACUCGCCAAGUGACGCUGAAGCUCUUUGGUCACAAGGGCGCCAAACCGUUCAAGCUGCAGAACAAGCUGAUUCGUCUGGUGAACUUGUCCAUCGGCAAGCCGCGGCGCGGAACGCUGCAGUGGCGCGUGGCUCACGGGCUCCUGGAUGACGAUGACGUGGAGGGGCAGCAACCGGUGGAGGAGCAGCGCACGGAUAGCGACGAAGAGGAGGAGCAGCCGUGUGAGCAGGACGAAAGUGCUGCGGACAGCGACGCGGUGAGCGCCGUCGACGACGACGGCAAUGGCAUGGGCAGAGACGGCGAGGAUGUCGCUGCUGCUGCUACGACGGACGGAAAUUGCGGCAACGGCGGUGCAACUCCGACGACAGAGGCGCAAGGCCGCGAGGCGGCAUGUGCCACGCCCGCAGCCGCCUUGAGCGCGCUCAACGGCUACACCCCGCUUCCGCAGGCGAUGGACUCCACACAGACGGCCGCAGAGCGCGCCUUUCAGAAUCAGACGCACGCGGCGGCCGGCUUCGACGUGGAGGAGAUCGUCCCCUUCUCUUCUUCCUCCUCCUGCGAGGGCGACGACAGCGAGGCACGCCACGAGGCGCGACAACGCAAGUCCAUCGCGUUGGCGGAGGCAGCGAGUGCUAUCGAGCGCGCCGCCGCAGCGGUGCCGAUUCCAGAAAGUGACAGCGAUGUCGAUGACGAGGAUAAAGGGGUGAAGGUGAUUGCCGCCCCAACCCCUCUUGGCGGCGGAGGCCCUCGCGUCCUGGCGUCUCCGCUUGCUUUGUCCUCGGAUGUCGUGGAGACGCGUGCCACAACGGAUGGCAAUCGUGAUGCUGGCGACGCACCGGCCGCCGCAACACAUGCGGACCCCAUUGCACCAGCGCCUGCUGCGACCUCCGCUGAGGUUGCUGCGACGGCAGUGAAACGCCAUGCUGGCAGCCUCGACCACCAAUCAAAGGGCGCCGAGGCGGAGGGCGAGGAUGUGGACCACUACUUGGAUAACGACGACGAGGUGGUGCCCCUCACGGUGCAGCAGGCAGGCACAGGAGCCACCGUCAUGUACGAGACGAGCCUCGCCAACAGCCCGGUGUUGACGGCGAAGCGCUUCGCCUCACUGCGCGACUACUUCCUGCGCGAGUUCCGAUUCCUGCUCAGUCUCGAGGAUGUCCGCUCGCAGAACGUGUCGGUGAAGAUAAACCUCGGCGCUGCCUACUGCUGCCUCGCCCGCCAGGGCUCCUACUCCACUCCGCUGAAGCACGCCACCUUUGGUGAGUUUGUCGAGCGCAUGAACACGGAGUCGAUGCAGCUGUAUUUCAUCAAGGACUGCCCUGCCUGCGUGUCGCGGGCGGUGGACAUGGAGAGCGGCUCGCUGCACUUCCCGGCCAGCUCGACGACGGUGAAGAUCAACUUCUUCUCGAACGAGCGCCAGAGUCGCUCCAUCGCGAGGGCGGUGUGGGACAGCGAUGCGGACCAGUUCCGCCUGCUCGAUGUCGAGAACAUCGGCGUCACCUUCAACUGGUCCGUCUUCUCUCUCGACGAGACGUUUGUGCGCCGCAAGAACGAGGUGCAGGCAGCGGCGGCGGAGGGCAGUUGUAUUGGCAGCGCGAGCGCUCCCGGUACGGCAAUCGUCAGUCCGAGUGCUGCGCCUGCGCCAGCGCCGGCUGUUGGGGCAGGAAGCGCUUCUGCAGCUGCGACAGAGGCACCUCUGCUGCCCCCAGUGCCCGCGGCAAACAAGGUAUGGGUGGGACCCGCCCCUGUCGGCAUCGGUGUGGAUCCUGACCGUCUCUUUCAAAAUACGAGCGUGCUAGAGGCGAAGGAGGCGGGCACAGCGGACGAGGCAAGUGCGGAAACGGUAGCGCCGGCGGCAGAGGAGGCGAAGAGCUCCUACAAGACUCCCAUCGACGAUGAAGAGGAUGACCUGGCGCGUAACAAGACUGUUGCUUACCCCUUCGAGGUGGAGUUCCGCGCCUACCGCCGCUGGAAGCAGCAAGGCGACAACCCCGCGGCGCCUCUCGCCAAAGCAAUUCUGGAAGAGCUGUCGCUGGCUGAGCACAACUACCUCAUUCACGGCUCGACAGCCAUGUACGAGCGCAUGGACCUGACGAACGUCUGCGAGGUCGACUACGCCGCAGAGGACCUCAAUGUGGAAAGCAUCGUGGUGGAGCACACGUCACGCGUGAAGCCGGAGGGGACUGACCUCCUAGUGGACAACACUACAUCGCUCUUCAUCGAGAAUUUCGCGGCGGCACGCCAGCUGAAGGAGAAAGUGGCGACCUACGGCCCCAUCAAGGUGGCAGCGAUGCAGAACCCUAGCAACAACAACUUUAUGCGCAGCGUCACGGCAGCCCGGCGGGCUGCCGGUCGUGGCGGUGGCCACGGAGCGCGUGAUGCACUGCACCUGACUCCAGCUGAGAUGGCGGAGGUGCUGAAGCCGACCUCGAAGCUGACGUUUUUCCGUUCGCGCGGGUCCACGAUUCACUGGAAGCUGCGUCCCAACAGCAGCCUGGAGGAGAACAUUGCCCCGAUGACGGAGGCCCUCUCCUUUUUGCAACAGGUGCUCCACACAGCGAACGAAAUCGAGCGCAAUUCAGCGCGCGGUGGUGCCGCCCCAGACGCACUCUAAGCCGUCAAGCACCAACGGCGUCGUUCUUCCCCUCCCCCUCCCCCUUCCCCUCCCAACAUGCACACGCACACACACACACACACACACACACACGCACGUGCAG